GACGAACGCUGGCGGCGUGCUUAACACAUGCAAGUCGAACGGAAAGGCCCUGCUUGCAGGGUACUCGAGUGGCGAACGGGUGAGUAACACGUGGGUGAUCUGCCCUGCACUUCGGGAUAAGCCUGGGAAACUGGGUCUAAUACCGGAUAGGAGCCAUUUUUAGUGGGAUGGUUGGAAAGUUUUUUUCGGUGUAGGAUGAGCUCGCGGCCUAUCAGCUUGUUGGUGGGGUAAUGGCCUACCAAGGCGGCGACGGGUAGCCGGCCUGAGAGGGUGGACGGCCACAUUGGGACUGAGAUGCGGCCCAGACUCCUACGGGAGGCAGCAGUGGGGAAGAUUGCACAAGGGGCGCAAGCCUGAUGCAGCGGCGCCGCGGGGGGGAUGACGGCCUUCGGGUUGAAAACUCCUUUCGCUAGGAACGAAGCUUUUUGUGACGGUACCUAGAUAAGAAGCACCGGCUAACUACGUG
rnacentral:rRNA from 1 species